rnacentral:sRNA from 1 species
CAGCAACAACAACAAAACAAGAGAAGAGAGAGGAAGAGAGAGAGAAUCUCAUGGAUCUUGUCAAUAUGAUCAACAACAAAACGACUUAACUUUCCAAAUGGUAAAAAAGAAAAAAAAAAUACUAAGGGAAAAUCAAUGAGAGCAAACGAGAGAGAAUGGAAAGAAGACUCUUUUAAAACCCUGAAGAGAGAUGUUGGCAAUAUUAUAAUAAACAUGGAUAUGGUAACCCUGAACAUAAGGCAUUUCCUGGCGAUCAAAAUAGAAAAGCAAAUGAAUCAAAUAUGCCUAAAAACCAUCUUAGAAUAAAGAGCAUAACAUUUUACACAAAAAAAAAAAUAAACCAAAAAAUUAAAAACGA